CUAGGCCUAUGUGACAAUACUUCCUCAUUUAGGUUUAGUCAUUUGUCAAAGUAUGGCGACUGUGUAUUUCACCCUCGCUAUUCUACUAACUCUCCUCCAUCAUUCAGAGCCCAGUGCUGAGACCUCUGUGUUUGUGCUGAAGGGACAGGAUGUUCGCCUGAAUGUCCAGACAAAUGUUACACUGAAAGAAGAUGUCGAUGUGCUAUUUUGGAAGUUUAACAGAUCAGUCAAUGUUGUAAAGUACCCACCAAAAGUUACCUUUGAAAGGUACCGAGGUAGGGCUGAAUUUAGUGAGGGAGACUUCUCUCUGCUACUGAAGAACCUCCAGGAAGAAGACAGUGGACUUUAUGAUGCAGUAGUGUCUGGUAACAAUGAAAGAAACGUUGCUAAAUACUUGAUAAAAGUCCAAGCAGAGGAACUAUCGUGGGAGGAAGUGGACGACAACUCCGAUGUCAAAGUCUGGAUACCUGUCGGCGUCAUCAUCAUAGUUGGAUUAUUCGUCCUGAUUAGCAUUGUUCUUUGGCGAAAGAUAAAUGAAGGUGACAAAGAGGAAAUGAUAAACACAGAGUAUGCUACAGUCAGGGUAAGAUACUGUACCUUAGCUUCUGUCAUUUAAAAAACUAGAAUGUUAUUGGAAAAUGUUGUUACGUUCCCCAGUUUCUGUGUGGUAGUUUGUGUAUUUGAGUGUGUUUCAGGAGAUGGCUUCCUGAAAUCCCCUGAUUGGUCGACUCCAUGGCUAAUUGGAGAGCUGACCCCGCCCCCUCAUCAAGACGCAGCUGUCUCCAAUUACUAAUUUCUUCUGAAGCUAUAUAAAAGCCAGGGUUCUGUUCAGAAGUGAGAUCAUUGCAGGCUGAGAUCAUUGCAGAAAGAUUGAUUGUGAUUUAGAGAGAGCAUAGCUGAGAGAGGAGGCUGAGGGUCAUAUUAUGUUUGUUGUUUCUGAGAGUGAUACAGGCAGUUGGUUUGUACUGUGUUAGUUUGUUGCAUUAUCAGAUAGAGCUUAUUUGAUGUCCUUUGUUUCUUAGUUUGUUCGUGAACUUGUUUAAUAUUCUGUUUCUUUUUUUCCCAGGGGGAAGGGGAAGGCACCUAGGGAGUGCUUAGGCAAGAGGCCUGCGGGCAUACAUAUACCCGUAGUAUAUUCACUGUCUAGGCACACUAGGUAAGACCUGGGCGGACCACCCCCUGUAUUUUGGUUAGGGCACCAGGUGGUGCUAAGUUAGAUAGGUGGUGGGUAGGCAGGUUAGAUAGGAGAGGGGGGGCUUUGACAUUUACUUUAUUUGCUUUGGUUCCGUCCAGCCCCUUUUCCCCAUAUUA